AUCACAGAAUUAGUCAAAGAACUUAAGAUUGAUCACUAUUUUAAACUAGAAAUCAAAACUGUCGACUUCAAAUAAAUACACGUCUAUAUUAUAGAUCCAAAUAACGAAUAUCACAAGACACGUCAGUGUCGCCAAUUAAUAAUUAAUAAAGAAAAAAGGAAAAUGUUUAACAAAUUAUAAUUAAACAACUUUUCCGAUUUUGUCGCGGUUUUUUUUGAUACUUUAGUUGUUUCAUUAUAAUGAGUGAAAUUCUUGUAAACAUUAAGAAACAAUAUGUUUAACAAAAUUCAAUUUAAAUACUUUCUUUUUUGGUGCUAAGUUAUCUUUUUUUUUUUAAAUUUGAUAAUAUAAUUUUAUUUUUAUGCAACUUGGCUUCUUGGAAAUCCGUUGGAGUAUUUUUCGCUAAUCAGUGUUGUUUCUGAUUUGACAAUCUACUUUCAUUUGAAAAUUUCACUAAAACUUCCUAAAUAUAUUUUGUCAGCCUAAUUAUAUCAGAAUUUGCAAUUUCUUAGUGACCAAGCAGAUAAUAAUAUUUUUUUAUCACAAUAAGCUGACUAAAUUAAAUGAUCUGAUAAAUCUGAUAAAUUUAAAUAAAAGGUUAUUUAUAUUUAAAUAAAAUAUUUUACAAGAAUAUGCUAUAUAUUAUAAUAUAUGGCAUUAAAAAACCAAAUUUAACUAUGUUUUUCUCAACAAAUUCUGACAAUUACGCUGACAAUUUAACGAUUUAUAAAAAUUCGUACUAUAAAAUAGUAGGAUCCGAAGUAGAUGAUGAGAUGAACUUCACCCAUCUGCUUAAUGGAUGAUUAAUAUUUUAUAUUUAUUUUAGUACAUUGGAAAAAUAAUUGCGAAAGAGUUGCAUAAAAAAUCCUGGCCAGGCUGUACCUAUUACAUUUAAAAAUUGAAAAAAAAAAUAUAUUUGAAAAUGCACCGAGUUUAAAGAAUAAAUGUAAUACCUACCGACAUUAUGAAUUAGCUGUAGUAAAAUGCAAACGUUGUGUUGUCUAUUAUUUUCCUGGCAUAACUUCUGGGUUGGUAGGUAAAAACAGGUAUAUUGAUAUAUAUACAUAUUGUUCUAGUUAAUUUCGACCACAUGUUUAAUAAAUAAAUCUUACAUUGAAAUGAUCGCAGUUUCAUUGCGAAUACGAAAACAGGGUUGCUUGCUAAAAGUCUGGUUUAAAUUGCGAUAGCCGAAUAUAAUAGAGCCUGGCCAGGAAUUUUCCAGCCAAAGUUUUCGCAAUUUAUCUUUAACAUACUAAAGAAUAUUAUUAUUUAAUUUUUAUCCAUUAAGCAGAUGGAUGAAGAUUACGUCUAGUUCGUAUCUUAAACUAUAACGACUUCGUAUAACACAUAAUUACUCCGGAAUCUGUCUUUCAUACAAGUCUUUCCAAUAAACAAGUGAUAUUUUAAAAUUAUACAUGACCUUUUUAAUAAUAGCUCCUAAGUCUUUGACUACAAAGUCACGUUUCCAACGAACAAUAUUUUUAACGUUAUUAACUAUUAUACUAAUGUGUUUAAUCGUAUUAAUCUUCUAUAGUUGUCAUUAGGACUUGUUUAUAUUUGUAUUUUAAUCGUGUAGUUACAUAUUCACUUUGUUGUUUUAAGACACUAUUUAUGAACUAGAAAGAUGAAUAAUUCUUAAUACGUUUUAUACUGUGCCGCACCGUAAUGUACCGCAUAAUACCGCGUAUAGUACCAUAAAGUAGUGCUGUUCCCAUAGAAUGUUUAUAUGCACUGUGGUGACAAUUUUUCAAGAAAAAGAUAGUACGUGAAAAUCGCUCUUAGAGCCUAGAACCAGUGAAAAUUUAAUAUUGAUUUACGUAUUCUAUCUAUUGGGAGAUCUUGGGUUUCACUAUAUCACAUUGUAUGUAUGUAUGUACGUGUGAAGAAUUCAGUUUGUUUGGACAAUCUAAACUGUUUCCUAUAUUGAAACUAUUAUUUAUUAUGUGACCUUAAACAUGAUUCAUCAAUUUAAUACAACUUAAAGUCCUAAACAUUGCGUCAUAUUUGAAAUAUAGAUAGAUAGUAGUAGAAUUGUUGAUCUAUUUGAAUAUUCGGUGAAAUAAAAGUGUAUCUUUUGGGCAGCUCAAAUAAAACAGGACUUGUGUGUACAAGUUGUUUUUACUAUUACAAUAAUAACAAUAAGAUAGUCAUGGCACGCACUGGAAAUUAAUACUUAAAAUACAAUAAAUAUUAGUUACCACAUAAAAUACAAUAGCAGUAGCCUCUUAAGUUCUAAAUAGUGUCUUAAAUAUCGACAGUAUUGAGUUACCUAAGCAUCUAUGAUUUUGACUGAUAUUAUUCAUUAUAGUUAUAGUUAAUUAGUGAAUUUAUUAUCAUUAUAUCAUCAGUAAUUAUGAAUUCUGAAGAAUUUAGUUUGAAAAUUUAAAGCAAUGACCCAUUUGAACAUCACCUCCUCAUCUCAUCUAUCAAAAAAACCUUACUAGAACAGUAAGGUUUUUUUUCAUUACCGUACCGUUAUUGCAAUGUAUAUUGCAACUUAUAAGCUGUCUCGUAUUUUUAUAAUAAUUAAUAAAUAGUUUUUUAAACUGUUAUUUUAUAUGUGCACUGACAAUUAUUGAACGUAUUGAGAUCGCUAAUAAAGUCAUGAAGUACAAAUAAUGCUAAAUGUUCUGAAAGUAUUUGCUGAUUAUAAAAUGUAAUCGUAUGUUUAAAUCGAAAUGUUUAUGCAAAUGGACGAAAUAAAUAUUUAGAUGAAAAUUAUUUGUUUUAUUAUUUUACUCUCUAGUGUUAAGAUCACAACUCAACCGUCAUUUAGAUCACAAUUUCAACGAAAUACUUUUAUUUUUAUAAACAACAAUAGAUAUUUUAAACUUGUAAAGUAUAAUAUCCUUAUUUUUAUCACAUUUGGAGAAACGUCACGGAUUUAAUUAAACAAAUUAUAUUAUUCAAAAACUAGUUAAAUUUAUUGUUAGUCACCACUUUGAAGUGAUGAAUAAAAGCUAAAAUUAUUGUCAUAUUAAAUU
rnacentral:misc_RNA from 1 species